rnacentral:misc_RNA from 2 species
AGCCGCCGUAUGCGGAACCGCACGUACGGUGGUGUGAGACAGCGACGGGGUUAACCCUACUCAGU